rnacentral:rRNA from 1 species
AUGCAUUUGGACAGGAAAGAGUGGAACAUAGAGCUGAUUAAGCAAAUCUUCCAUGCUUUUGACGCGGAAGAAAUUAUCAAGCUGGCUAUCCCUCAAGCGGAUGUUACGGACCAGAUAGCAUGGCAUCAUGAACGGAGCGGAGCGUUUUCAGUAAGAAGCGCGUAUAAGCUUGCCGAGUCGCUGCAAGCUCAUGCUGCCCAGGCCCCAACGAGUUCUUCGAGCGAGGCUCGGGACCGAAGUAUAUGGGAUGUCAUAUGGAAAGCAAACGUCCCUCCAAAGGUCAGAAUUUUCGGUUGGAGGAUCGCUACUAACACCCUGGUACAAAGAAGAAUAAGUUCAGAAGAACACUCGAGUUGGAUGCUAUCUGUAACAUAUGCGGCUGCAAGGAAGAGGACGAAUUUCAUGCUGUAG